rnacentral:rRNA from 1 species
GGGAGCUUGCUCCCUGAUGUUAGCGGCGGACGGGUGUAGUAACACGUGGGUAACCUGCCUGUAAGACUGGGAUAACUCCGGGAAACCGGGGCUAAUACCGGAUGGUUGUUUGAACCGCAUGGUUCAAACAUAAAAGGUGGCUUCGGCUACCACUUACAGAUGGACCCGCGGCGCAUUAGCUAGUUGGUGAGGUAACGGCUCACCAAGGCGACGAUGCGUAGCCGACCUGAGAGGGUGAUCGGCCACACUGGGACUGAGACACGGCCCAGACUCCUACGGGAGGCAGCAGUAGGGAAUCUUCCGCAAUGGACGAAAGUCUGACGGAGCAACGCCGCGUGAGUGAUGAAGGUUUUCGGAUCGUAAAGCUCUGUUGUUAGGGAAGAACAAGUACCGUUCGAAUAGGGCGGUACCUUGACGGUACCUAACCAGAAAGCCACGGCUAACUACGUGCCAGCAGCCGCGGUAAUACGUAGGUGGCAAGCGUUGUCCGGAAUUAUUGGGCGUAAAGGGCUCGCAGGCGGUUUCUUAAGUCUGAUGUGAAAGCCCCCGGCUCAACCGGGGAGGGUCAUUGGAAACUGGGGAACUUGAGUGCAGAAGAGGAGAGUGGAAUUCCACGUGUAGCGGUGAAAUGCGUAGAGAUGUGGAGGAACACCAGUGGCGAAGGCGACUCUCUGGUCUGUAACUGACGCUGAGGAGCGAAAGCGUGGGGAGCGAACAGGAUUAGAUACCCUGGUAGUCCACGCCGUAAACGAUGAGUGCUAAGUGUUAGGGGGUUUCCGCCCCUUAGUGCUGCAGCUAACGCAUUAAGCACUCCGCCUGGGGAGUACGGUCGCAAGACUGAAACUCAAAGGAAUUGACGGGGGCCCGCACAAGCGGUGGAGCAUGUGGUUUAAUUUGAAGCAACGCGAAGAACCUUACCAGGUCUUGACAUCCUUUGACAAUCCUAGAGAUAGGACGUCCCCUUCGGGGGCAGAGUGACAGGUGGUGCAUGGUUGUCGUCAGCUCGUGUCGUGAGAUGUUGGGUUAAGUCCCGCAACGAGCGCAACCCUUGAUCUUAGUUGCCAGCAUUCAGUUGGGCACUCUAAGGUGACUGCCGGUGACAAACCGGAGGAAGGUGGGGAUGACGUCAAAUCAUCAUGCCCCUUAUGACCUGGGCUACACACGUGCUACAAUGGACAGAACAAAGGGCAGCGAAACCGCGAGGUUAAGCCAAUCCCACAAAUCUGUUCUCAGUUCGGAUCGCAGUCUGCAACUCGACUGCG